AGGUAGGGAAGAAAGGCCAAGAGAGUUCACACAACCAGGGUCACAUCCAAGCAAUAUUUGAAAUCAUUGCUGAUUUGUAGUGGGGUCAAUUUGAGGACUCUUUCGAAUAAGUUAAAAUAUAGAUUCUAGAAAUACAUAUUUUUUUGAAAAGAUCAAAUUUUGUAAGGUCAGAGUGUAUUAUUACAUUAUUGAUUAGUUAUUAAAUUCUAAGCAUGUGUUCUUCAGUGUGGAGAAUAAAGGAAGGCAAAGUUAUUUCCCAAAGGACAUUAUUUAUCUAUUUUGAUUGUAAAGUAGUGAAGCAGAAACAAUAUUAAAACGUCAGAAACCAGUGGCCAGUCUAAGAUAGAAAACACUCAUUUCCGCCUGCCUGUUCAUUUGAGAGAUAAAGUGCAAGCUUUAUCGCACUUUAGAAAGUCAACAAUACUCCACAUUUCCUAAAUAAGAAAGUCAAAUAUUUCCAGAUAUUGCGUUUCCUCUAUGACGACUAUUCAGUCCGCUUUAGGGAUUCUAAACUACUAGAAAGAUGGAGUCAGAAAUAGCAGGUUCUGCACAACGUCAUCUGUAGGAAACUACCGUUGGAACACAAAGAAAUGAUAAUAUGUGAGCUUGUCUUGUAUUUUGAUCUCUAAAUUCAGUAAAUGCGGGAAACAAUAGCACGCAAUAGUACACUUAUUUUAAUAUGUACUUAUUUCCAUUAGAGCGGGACUUCUCUGCCUUCUCUUCAAGGAAAACCUGCAAUACAUUUUUGAGGGAAAGAAUCACGGAAGGACAACCUUUGAAAGUUCAUAUUCAUCCUGGAGUAUUUUCAACGUUAAUCUGUUGUAGGAAACAUCACAUUCUUCAGGUAUUGUGGAUUUAGCAACUGAUAUUCAGUGCUGAUAAACAAACAUUUGUUGAAUGAAACAUUUUCUCUGUCUUCCACAUUUUCUCUUUUUCCUUUCUUAAUUUUUUUUGUGGACAAAGUAGUGAGAAAGUAGGGGUGGAGGGAAGCUGGGCUUUGCUCCCAGGUUCUCAGGGCCAGGUGUCCAUCUCCUGGGCUCCCCUCCAGUGCACACCAGUUUGGUGGCUGUUGGGAACUUUCACCCAGGGAGCAGAAGGUAGGCCAGGAGAGCAUCUUGAUGAAGAUGGGAAAACUCUCACCACAGCCUGCUCACCCCUGCCUGCUCUAGGGAAAGACAGGUGCAGUCUACAGGAGACUGAGCAUGUGCCUGUGGGGGGACCUCAGCGCAUGGUAGAGAGUAUUUCUCCAUGAGCUCACAUUACUGAGUGUUGAUCAUUUGUUCAUUCAUUCACUCAUUCAUUUAUCUGCCCAUUCGGAAAACAUCCACCAUUGUCCAUUAAAUGCCAGGCCCCCUGAUAAGCACUAACGGUAAAUGCAAAGAAGAAUGAGACAAUGUCCCGAUACCAUGUUGUCCAUAAACUAUCAAGGAGCCCAUCCACAGUGCACCUGCUGUCAGAUGAAGUUAGAAGGACAGGCUGGUGUUUGGAGGAAGCCACAUGCCUGGGAUCCGAGAAAAUAGAAGGGCAACAGUCCAGGAGCACCUGCUAUGCGCCACCUGCUCCCAGGAGCUGUAGUCAUGUGAACCAAUUGAACCAAAACAGCCCCACCUGGUUAGUGUUAUCACUACCUCCUUGCCAUAGAGACAGAAGAGGCACUUAGCGAGGGGGCAGGGAGCUAACACUUUCAUAAGUGCUGGUACUGACAUGUAUGCCAAAGGGAAUAUUGGUACUUACGAAGGUACAAAUCCAAGUACUCAUGUAAAUUAUGUCAGUGAGGGCUCCUCUUGUCGCCGACGCAGCAUGAUGGGAGGCGCACAGCCGGGAACGCAGUGUGGAGGAGCAGAAGGGGGAAUGAAUAACUUAUGACUCGCGGCCCUGCCAAAGCGAAAGGAGGGCAAGUUUUCUGCCAGGGAACAAAGACUGAGAUCAUAAUGGGAAUGAAAGUCCUGGCUAAUGAGAAGAUGCUCUGUUACAUUAAAAACAAAAUCUAUUGAUUAAUUUGAAUAACUACAUCAGCAUCUAUAAGCUUGGGAAUUCUCAACUUUGUCAUGCCAAUAAAAAUAUUUAUCAAACAGUAAA